CCUACGGGAGGCAGCAGUGGGGAAUAUUGGGCAAUGGGCGAAAGCCUGACCCAGCAACGCCGCGUGAAGGAAGAAGGCUUUCGGGUUGUAAACCUCUUUUGACAGGGACGAGCAGAAGACGGUAAAUGUCGAAUAAGGCACGGCGAACUACGUGCCAGCAGCCGAGGUAAUACGUAGGUGGCAAGCGUAGUACGGAUUUACUGGGUGUAAAGGGCGUGUAGCCGGGCUGACAAGUCAUAUGUGAAAUCCGGGGGCUCAACCCCCGAACUGCAUAUGGGACUGUUGGACUUGAGUAUCGGAGAGGCAGGCGGAAUUCCUAGUGUAGCAGUGAAAUGCGUAGAUAUUAGGAGGAACACCGGUGGCGAAGGCGGCCUGCUGGACGCCAACUGACGGUGAGGCACGAAAGCGUGGGGAGCGAACAGGAUUAGAUACCCUUGUAGUC
rnacentral:rRNA from 1 species